rnacentral:tRNA from 1 species
AAAUUAUUAGUUUAAUAAAAAUAAAUGUUUUCUAUACAUUAGAUGAUGAAGCGAAGGUCAUAAUUUA